GCCCCUGUGGCCGUGCAUCAGUGUGAGGGUGCGCAUGGUGUUGUCACGUGCCUCCCUUCCCAUCACGAACCCCACCUGGUCAGGAUGUACCAGAUGGGGCACGUGGGUCUGUAGUCUGGUGGCCAAGAUUUUGGCCAAUAGUUUGAGGUCACAGUUUAUGAGAGAAAUGGGUCGGUAGCUCCCGCAGUGCUCCCCGUCCUUGCCCUCCUUGGGGAGGAUGGUGAUGUGUGCCCUGAUGGCGUUGUAAG